GGUGAACGCUGGCGGCGUGCUUGACACAUGCAAGUCGAACGGUAUGUGGCAACACAUAGAGUGGCGAACGGGUGAGUAACACGUGGGAACGUACCCUACGCAGGGGGAUAACUGACCGAAAGGACAGCUAAUACCGCAUAAGACCGAAAGGUGAAGGUGCAAAUGCAUCGGCGAAGGAGCGGCCCGCGGACCAUCAGCUAGUUGGUGGGGUAAGAGCCUACCAAGGCGACGACGGUUAGCCGGCGUGAGAGCGUGGCCGGCCACAAGGACACUGAGAUACGGGUCCUACUCCUACGGGAGGCAGCAGUGCGGAAUUUUAGAUAAUGGAGGCAACUCUGAUCUAGCGACGCCGCGUGCAGGAAGAAGGUACUUCGGAUUGUAAACUAGCUGUGGUAAGGGAAAAAGUAGUCAUGUAGAGUGGAAAG
rnacentral:rRNA from 1 species